rnacentral:rRNA from 1 species
UAAUUGAAGAGUUUGAUCAUGGCUCAGAUUGAACGCUGGCGGCAGGCCUAACACAUGCAAGUCGAGCGGAAACGAA